GGUGAAGAACGUAGCGAAAUGCGAUAAGUAAUGUGAAUUGCAGAAUUCAGUGAAUCAUCGAAUCUUUGAACGCACCUUGCACCCUUUGGCAUUCUGAAGGGUAUGCUCGUUUGAGUGUCAUUGUACUCUCACACUCCCGAUCUUUGCAUUGGGAGCAGUGGACUUGGGUUUGCUGCUUCACCGUCGCUUACCUCAAAUAGGUUAGUGCAACUCUUGGUUGGACAUAGUACGGCGUGAUAAGUGUUCUUCGCCGGUGCCUCGCAAAGAGGGUGGCCGAUCGGGAUGUUGUGCUCCAAACCGUCUUCGGACAAUCUCUGACGACUUGACCUCAAAUCGAGUAAGACUACCCGCUGAACUUAAGCAUAUCAAUAAGCGGAGGA
rnacentral:misc_RNA from 1 species